AUACAAAGAGAAGCGACCUCGCGAGAGCAAGCGGACCUCAUAAAGUGCGUCGUAGUCCGGAUUGGAGUCUGCAACUCGACUCCAUGAAGUCGGAAUCGCUAGUAAUCGUGGAUCAGAAUGCCACGGUGAAUACGUUCCCGGGCCUUGUACACACCGCCCGUCACACCAUGGGAGUGGGUUGCAAAAGAAGUAGGUAGCUUAACCUUCGGGAGGGCGCUUACCACUUUGUGAUUCAUGACUGGGGUGAAGUCGUAACAAGGUAACCGUAGGGGAACCUGCGGUUGGAUCACCUCCUUACCUUAAAGAAGC
rnacentral:rRNA from 1 species